rnacentral:rRNA from 1 species
CAGUAGCCGCGGUAAUACGAAGGGGGCUAGCGUUGCUCGGAAUUACUGGGCGUAAAGGGAGCGUAGGCGGAUAGUUAAGUUGGGGGUGAAAGCCCGGGGCUCAACCUCGGAAUUGCCUUCAAUACUGGCUAUCUAGAGUAUGGGAGAGGUAUGUGGAACUCCGAGUGUAGAGGUGAAAUCCGUAGAUAUUCGGAAGAACACCAGUGGCGAAUGCGACAUACUGGCCCAUUACUGACGCUGAGUCUCGAAAGCGUGGGGAGCAAACAGGAUUAGAUACCCCGGUAGUCCCUGUCUCUUAUAC